AUUAGUGGGCAUGCAAACAUUUGUGUGUGUGUGUGUGCGCGCUCACAAAAUGAAGUCUGCAGAGAGUGUCACGCAGAGGCAUUUUAGACCGUGCAACCUGAUCAGUUUGAACUCCGAAAGAUCAUAUUAUUUAUUUAUUUGUUUGUCUUUCCUUCUCAAAGACAGUUAAUUACUGAAGCACCGGGAACAUUUUGUAUUCCCGCUUUUGCGAUGGUGCCUUGCAAACCUGAGACUAAUGAGACCAAGUUCUCACCCCAGCUGUGAACUUGCUGACUUUCCUGCCUGGAAGCCGGAGCAGAGCUUCUGAACAUUGACUCAAGAGGCUACAGAAAUACAUGUAGCUUCACCAGGACCUGAGAGCUAAAACCUAGGCUCCUCUCCUAAGGCAACAUCAUCAGGGAAAUUUGCUGAGGAGAGGAGAUUCCAAGAGAUGCUGUUGCCUGGGGUGAUGCUCCCACCUGUCAAGCUUUGAGUCCAACAGAGAGCAUCAGGCUUGCACUCUUCCUCCUUAUCACCUCUUCUGCAGUGUGCCCUGCAGGAAUGCAGCUGCUUUGAGCCACUCACAUGCAGUGCAUCUAAUUUGUCCUGCUGGAGAGGACCAGAUCCAGGGGUCCAAAGAAAUAUCACCUGAAGACGCCAGACUUUUCUUGGAAGUGAGCAGCUAUGUCUGGAUAUAGAUGUCUACCUGGAGAAUUUCCAGCCUGGCCCAGUUCAGUUCUGGCCUCAUACAGCUCCUUUGGGGCUCCCUGUGAAAGACAAGGGUCUAGCAUGCCUGUCCUCUGAGAUGCUCCACCUAGCAGCUGACUCAGACAGAUGCACACCCAAGCUAACAGUGAACAGAGCUUGGGGACUCUUAUGGAAGAACAGGAGGAAGAACUGCAGCCUCUAAGGGGUCAGAAGCUCCACAGAAAGAGCAACAGACUCAACUAAGUUGGACUCCUGCCUCCUGCACAGAUACUCAUCUUGGUCUUCAUGUGGGUCUUGAACAACUGGAGUGGGGGACAGGGGUUAUUCCAAAAGCUGUUGCCUGUCUGUGGUAUAUAUUCUAGCUGGGCUGCCUUCUCUGGCCCCACUGGGAGAGGAUGCACCUAGACUAACAAAGACGUGAUAUGUGAUGGUAGGGGGAUACCCAGGGGAGCCCUCACCCUCUCAGAGAAAGGGAGGGGAUGGGGGAAAGGAUUGUGAGAGGAGGUGCCCAGGAUGGGAGCAGCGAAUGGGAUGUAAAGUGAAUAAGUAAAGAAAAAUAUUAAUGCUGUUGCAGAGGACCUAGGUUCUGUUAUUUACCCAUUCCAUCUCAGAGAGCUCAUCAUUCUGGUAUCUUCAAUUCCAUGAUAUCUGACACCCUCUUCUGUUUCUUAUGAGCACCUACAUGCCUGUGGCAUACACACACACACACACACACACACACACACACACACACACACACAAACAGACUUAGGUGCACCUAUAAAAGUUAAAUAGAUACCAGUAACAAGAGAAAGAUAUUCAUGGUUAGUUAUACUCUUCAUCCUUAUAUCAGACACAAUGCAGAAGAAAGAGAAGAAAUGUGUAUACCUAUUAAAAAAUUUGACAUUAUUAGCAAAAACAUGAUUUUUCUAUAUACAGUACAUAAAACAAUCACAAUAAUUAGCAAAGUAAUAAGGAUGUUUUCUUCUUAGCUAUAACAUUAUCAUCAAUAACAGCAUAAUAAUCAUCAUGUAAAAUUUAAAUGCAUAUUAUAUAUCCAGCAGAACAAAUGAAAUCCUUAGUACUAAACCUAGCAAAAGGGAAAUACAGAUUAACAAUUACUAUUAUCUUUAAAUGGGAAGAAUUAUCAGUAUAAAUAUAUGACACUUUAUUAACAAAAUAAAUAAAUGAAAUCCUCAGAGACUAUUUUUUUGGUAGCUGAAUUGGAUGGUUUCACUCUGAAAUAUUUUGACCACUAUUCUCACAAGGCAGAUUGCAGAAAAGACCAAUAUGCAUAUGUGAAUUCAAAAUAUGAUUGGCUUAUUGGAAAAUGGUGGGGAAACUAUGGAAUAUGUCAAACACAGUUUUGGAACUGAUGGAUAUUCGUACUGGAAGAGUAGAAACACGUAGCACUAAUUUUAGAUUGUUUGUAGCUAUAACUAAGAGAAAUAGAGAUAUCCAAAUAUUUCUAAACCAUGUAGAAAAAUUUCUUGUUUAUUCCUACAUAAAAUAUUUUCUUAAAUAAGAUAUAAAAGUUAAAUAAAAGGAUAAUUUGACUAGAAAAGUAUAAAGUUCAUUGCAGCAAAACACUUCCAAUAAAAGGUAUAGGGCGAAAAAUUUUGUUGGAAAAACUUUACUUGAAGGAAACCACAAAUCCAGGAUUUAUGGUUGGGUCAUAUAUAGACAACUUGGUGUUAAAUAAGUACUAAAGGUCCAGGAAGCAAGUACAGAAAUGAGAACAGAUUAUUCACAGAGGGGAUAGGAAAGUUUGGUGCAACUGCUUUGAGGGUUGUGGAAGCUUCAGGAAACGGGGAGCAGGCGAGCUCCACCUGUGUAGGUGAUAUUGGUGAAUAGCCUGUCAGAGCUCCUUGUUGUUCCAUGGCACAUCCACCCAUCUCAGGCAUAGAAAGGAGGAUGGUCCCAGGAUAUAUCAGCACAGUUGUGUACAUUUGGUACCAUUUAUGAUCUUGGGAGAGUCUCCCAAAUGAAACAGUUUUUAAAACACCCCUGCUUUGUACAGGCUUUUGAGGUAAACUCCUCUUGUCUUGUUAUUCACUCAUGACAGACACCACCCACUCCAGCCUGUCUUUGCUUAGCUCUGUUUUGACUUCUCAGGGAUUUUCUAUGUACAGUACAUAUUUCCCCAGGAAUUUUCCACAUAACUCUUUUCAAAGACUAUUUUUAUUUACGUGUAUGUCAGUAUGUAUAUGUUUACCCCCUGUGUAAUCUAUUUGUGUAUGCAGUAUGAGUACAGGUCUUUGUAGAGGCCAGAAGAAGGUAUCAGGGCUCCUAGAGUUAUGGGCAGUCUUGAACUUCCUGACAGGAAUGCUGGGAACUGAACCUAGGUUCUCUGGAAGAGCAUCAGGUGCUCACUCUUAACUACUGAGCUAUUUGUCUUUCGAGAACUGUGUACAAUUCUUAUUUUAACAUAAUGGGAGAUUCUAGACACUUUUCCCUGAGAGCGGUUUUCUUAUAUCUGUAAAGUGAAACAUUUGUAUGCUCAUAGACAUUGGCAUAUAUUGUGCUUGAAGAUCCUUAAAGUAUAUAAGAGCCCAAAGUUAGCUGAUAUAAAGGUUAUUUUCCUAGAGUAUGUUGUUCUGUAUCAUUGAUAUGCAUGAUAAAUAUCGAUGGCUAAUCACAUAAGACUUAGGUUCUCUGUUGUGCACUUGAUACAACAUUUCCAUUCCAAGGAGCAUGCUCAAGAUUUACUACCAUGAGAAGAAGCAGAAGAAGGUGAUGAGGCAGGCUAAGAAUGGCCACACUUGUUCUGGGAAGGAUAUGAUGGUAUUUACGUCUGUGUUUCAUGUGGUACUACCUAGAAACUUUUUGAGUCACACAAUUCUGCUGCUGUGACACAAAAGAAGUCAAGGUUAAUGUGUAAAGAAAUGCAAGUACAAGAUU
rnacentral:sRNA from 1 species